rnacentral:rRNA from 1 species
GACGAACGCUGGCGGCGUGCCUAACACAUGCAAGUCGAGCGGUAGCACAGAGAGCUUGCUCUCGGGUGACGAGCGGCGGACGGGUGAGUAAUGUCUGGGAAACUGCCUGAUGGAGGGGGAUAACUACUGGAAACGGUAGCUAAUACCGCAUAACGUCGCAAGACCAAAGUGGGGGACCUUCGGGCCUCAUGCCAUCAGAUGUGCCCAGAUGGGAUUAGCUGGUAGGUGGGGUAACGGCUCACCUAGGCGACGAUCCCUAGCUGGUCUGAGAGGAUGACCAGCCACACUGGAACUGAGACACGGUCCAGACUCCUACGGGAGGCAGCAGUGGGGAAUAUUGCACAAUGGGCGCAAGCCUGAUGCAGCCAUGCCGCGUGUAUGAAGAAGGCCUUCGGGUUGUAAAGCUCUUUCGGCCGGGAAGAAAUCGUAUCAGCUAAUACCUGGUGCGGAUGACGGUACCGGCAUAAGAAGCACCGGCUAACUACGUGCCAGCCGCCGCGGUAAAAC